AUAAGUAGUGUCAGUCUGAAACCUGAAAUAUUCUUUUUUCCAUUUUGUUCGUAGAAUACCAAUAAGGGGCACUGGCACUGGAAGGACGGUUUGUGUAAAUCAAAUGUAUUCAAAGGACAACUUAACAUGCUGUUUUAGCUUUAACAUACCUUCUUCACAUUUAAAUCCACAGCAUCCCCAUUCUGAUUUCUUUUCAAGUUACAACUCCAAAUGACAGUUAUGUGUGAAUUAAUUCUGGAUGACAGACAGGAGAUAGCAUAACAAUGUCUUAUAUUUCGUGUGCGCUACAAGGCAUGACGCAUUUUUUUAUUUUUUUGGGUCUAGAACAGUGAUUCUCAACGACUGGGACAAUCUGCAUAGUGUCGGCCGCAAAGAUGUGAUCUGACAAGAACCGAUCAUCCAUCCACCCCAACCCCUCCCCUCCAGAUGGUGUUGGUGGACACAUUAAUCAUGGUGGAUGUAAAGUCACAAAUAAAUGCAGAUCUGUGACGGGACACAAACUCUGCUGCAUGAAAGCCUGAGAUGCUGCACACCCAUCCACCACCUCGACCACCACACCCUAACUUUCUGCCUCACCCCCUAUAUUGGCACCGAAUGUUGACACUACGUAAAUCGUGAAGUUCUGAAUCAUCCUACAUGGCUGCAAUUCCUUGGGAUACUGGGAUGAGAAAAACUACAUAGAUUUCACUUUGUAAGCUUUGGAACAUGAUCCGCACUAACUUGAAGAAUGCAUGAUUUGACGGUGAUUUAGAAGCUUAAAACAUGCACAAACUGCAGUUUAGUCAAGUGAUUUUUGGCAGAAUAUUAAAACUCAAUAAUACGAAUAAUACUCAACAAAUAUGUACAGAACUGAUUUUUGUAAUAUAUGAAUCAUUUGUGCUAUGUUGAAUAUUGCAUGAAUAUUUGGAAACAUCCCUACUGUGAAGAGUCAGUAAUAAAAUUGAUUUCUAAAGGAA